rnacentral:misc_RNA from 1 species
ACGGACGUGCAUGACUACGGCGUGAAAAUGCGCAAUGUGUUCAAGUUCCUCGAAAACGGCGACAAGGUGAAAAUCACCCUGCGAUUCCGUGGCCGCGAAAUGGCGCACCAAAACCUCGGCCGCGAGUUGCUGGAACGGGUGGCCGAAGACAUCAAGGAAACCGGCAAGGUUGAAAACAUGCCAAAGAUGGAAGGUCGGCAAAUGAUCAUGAUGAUCGGCCCGCUUCCCAAAUAAGCAUUCCCAAGCCCCCGCCCAGAUUUGAGCGGGGGUUUUUCUUUGUCCAAAAUGAUUUGAGUGUCCUAUGUGGGAAGAGCGUUAUUCAGGCUCCGA